AGCUUUGCAUAGUGGCAGUAUCAUAGCCAAUGAGGUUUAUCCAAGGCACAAUUAUUGCUAAUUGAAAACUUUUCCCAACACCCCUCUGACUUUCAAUAUAGUCAGCACUGGCAAUUUGACAGUCUCUACAGAGA